GAUUUCUUUCCGGCAGUCAGUCCUUUUGGUGUUUUCUGCUGCAAGCCGAGGGCGUGAGAAUUCAGCAGUGUUAAACCUUGAGGUACUGGGACAUAAACGUACAGCCCAAAAAGUCAGCUGCUUCCUUGACUGCUUCAAGCCCAACUCAAGAUGCCAAAAGGAUUGUGCUUCAGUGGAACAAUGACCUAAGCAGCCUGGAUACACUGGCAUUAACCAAGAAGCAUUCUGCUUCUAUUUAAUGUGUUUUCCUUCCAUCAUGUAAUGACCAAUGUAUUUGAUCACUAAAGAAGUAUUUAGCUGCCAUAGUCCAUCAUAAAAAAAAAAAAAGAUCCCAAACUAUAGGAGAGCUAGCAUUUUUACAAAUCAAACCCAAAGUUUUGGUUUGUACUGCUUUAGAAAACAGCCGAACAGUCAUUACACUAUACUUUCUGCAGUAUGAUCAAGAGCAAUUAAUUUCUGCGUUUUAUUAGCUGGUUUUUUUAAAAUGUUCUUUGACACUUUCAUACAACUCAUAUGACUGCUUUCCACCAACCAGGAACUUGAAUGACUUCAGCUGCAUUGGAAAGUUCCCAUUAUCCUAGAUCAAGUGAAGACUAGGAAGGCAGUUGUGACUACUUUUUUUAUUCUCUUUGAUAAACAAAGAUAGAAGAUUCCCUGAAAGCUUUUAGAUUACUAAAACAGGUCUUCUGCUAACAAGGUAGUUUCAUGUGUUCUGCUUUCUUUCAGCUUGCUUUUUUCCAGUCCAGUAUUUUCCUUUUCUGGACUGUAUGUCAGCCAGCCAGUGUCAUCCAGGCCCCAGUCUUGGCUAGAUGUCGAAACAGACAGGAAGCAACAUAGCCUGGAUCUAAUGAAAAAAAGAUGGGGAAACUGCCAUGAGUGUCCUGAUGACAUCCCAGCCUGAUCUUUUGGGCCUCUUCUGGAGAGACAAAGAUAUCAAAUGAGUCUGGAGAAAAAGUGAUCAUCUUACUAUCAACUCAGAUGAUCUGUUCAUUUUCUCUUCACACCCCCCCCCCCCCCAGCUUUUUCAUUUAAGUCUUACUAAGUUUGGAAGUUUCACCCUCUCUUUUUGGAAGCGCGAAAAAAGAUUUUCUCAGCUCUUGGUGAAUUUGUCUAUUUUACUGAUCACCCCAGAUGGUUGGGAUCCUAUUUUCCCAGUGAUGUACUAGGAGAUGAAUGUAAUUAACUGCAUUAGCUCUGAGUAGGAGUUAUAUAAACCUACUUGGGAAUAGAAGACUCAGUAAGGGGAUAAUUUCCUCCUUUGAUAUGUCUGACUUCUAUUGAUUUGAAUGAAAAUGUAUGUGCAUCUGAGGUACAGUUUACAUGGAGAAGAGCCUGAACUAAAAUCUCUGGUUUGAUCUACUAAAUUAGAUGAAAGAUCAGGAGACAAACUUUGCUUCUCAUAAAGAUCUCAUUUUGCAAAUACUUUGAAGUACCUCAAGUUUUUCAAAAUGCAUCAUGUUAACAGAUACGGCUCAUUCUGCAAAUAAAUAAUUUAUCCAAUAAAAAAAUAACUUAUUUAUCUAAUGUAUAGUUAGAUAAGUCAAAUAAAGAAAAUUCUUAAUAAUUGUUUUAUUUUCCUUUAUCAAGGAUAAAAGGAAACUAUUAGUGGGCUAUUGUAUGUGAUGGUUUUACAGUUAUAAUUAGUCUAUUCAGUCUGCAACCCUUGCAAAAAUACAGAAACAUUC
ensembl:lncRNA